rnacentral:misc_RNA from 1 species
UAAUAAGUGUUUUAUGGCGCUUUUUAAAUCCAUAUCCACCUUGUGUGCAAUGUCAGUCGAUCUUCUUCAUGGAGAUCGACCAAACAUCAACCUUUAUCUUUUAACUCUUUGUCUGAAAAAUAUUAUGAAUAAACAAUUCAAAAUA